rnacentral:rRNA from 1 species
GACGAACGCUGGCGGCGUGCCUAAUACAUGCAAGUUGAGCGCUGAAGGUUGGUACUUGUACCGACUGGAUGAGCAGCGAACGGGUGAGUAACGCGUGGGGAAUCUGCCUUUGAGCGGGGGACAACAUUUGGAGACGAAUGCUAAUACCGCAUAAAAACUUUAAAAACAAGUUUUAAGUUUGAAAGAUGCAAUUGCAUCACUCAAAGAUGAUCCCGCGUUGUAUUAGCUAGUUGGUGAGGUAAAGGCUCACCAAGGCGAUGAUACAUAGCCGACCUGAGAGGGUGAUCGGCCACAUUGGGACUGAGACACGGCCCAAACUCCUACGGGAGGUAGCAGUAGGGAAUCUUCGGCAAUGGACGAAAGUCUGACCGAGCAACGCCGCGUGAGUGAAGAAGGUUUUCGGAUCGUAAAACUCUGUUGGUAGAGAAGAACGUUGGUGAGAGUGGAAAGCUCAUCAAGUGACGGUAACUACCCAGAAAGGGACGGCUAACUACGUG